AGGCUUGAACAGAUGUUUGCUUUGUUCUUGAACAUAUGUUUUGAUUACACCACAAGAAAUGUGAGCAACAUGGGCGACAGUAUUAGCGACGACUUCUAAAAAGUGGCCGCUAAAGGUGUUAUCCGCGUCACGUCUGGAAUAAAUGAAGCAGGGGCAGCCGUUGAUAAAAGUUGAGAUCUGAUAGCUAGGGUUUUAAACGCAAAAUCCAUUUUUACAAGCGGGAGAAUUUCCCCCCUUGCCUGCCUGUACUUUUCUCCCCCAAAUCGAUUUCUCUCUCUUUCCAUCCCAAAAUUCCCUUUGUUGCUCUCUUCCCGGCCCUAAAUCUCCCCCUCGAAGGUUCCGGCACUAAGGUUUCCGGCGUGAAGGUGGUUUCCAGCAUGAAAGUGGGUUCCUGCGUGAAGAUUUUUUCCGGCAUGAUGCCUUUUUCAGACGUGAAGCUUUUUUCUGGUGUGAAACUGGUUUGCGACUUCUUUGCAACAGUUUACACAUAAGGAAAGUUUGCAAAACAUUAGAGGAGGAUGCUUUAAGCCAAUUUUGCAUCACUAUGAUGGUCCCAAGUUUUGGCUUGAGCUGUCUAUCCCUAAGAUAGCAAGGAAAGUUUUGGAUGCGGCUACGCAUUGUGUGUGAUAACCGAUGAAAUCUGGUGUUAACGACGACAUUUGCUCAGGUUCCGGCCAGAUUAAGGUUCCGGUUGAUAUUUGGUCAAGCUCUUUUGUCUUGCAGGUCUGAUCUUAGAGGUGACGUUGGCCGCCGAUGAAAGUGGAGGUGGUGUUCGACAGUUGCAACGGUACAAGUCAGGGGAUCUCACUCACUCUCUCUCUCUCUCAUUUUGGGGGGGGGGGGGGGGGGGUAUUUAAGAAUGUAAUCUGUUUUGUAUUUUUUGGCUUGGUAUACCUGUCGAAUCUAAUCCAGUGAGUGAUGCUAUUUAUUUUUAAAACAUUUUCAUCAGUUUCUCUAACUAGCGUAAUUCAAUAGACAUGUUGCUGAUGUGUAAAUUUUAUAUCGUUUUAGAAAAUAGACGAGAGAGCAACUACGGAAGUUUUCCUAAAGGUUCUGGAUAAUUACAUCAAAUGGUGCAAAUAUCUACGUAUACGUCUUGUUUAGAAUAGGUAUUUACUUGCACUGGUAUUUUCCUAUUAUAUUUAUCAUUCCUCAUUCUUUGCUAAUUUUAAUGAGAGAUUGUUAAGUGUAUCAAAGUCGGUUCCAGUCAUUUUUGCCAUUUGGUAAAUAUUUGUAGUUGGAUGUGUUUGUAUUGAUAAAGGCCUAUUGAUGUA